rnacentral:misc_RNA from 1 species
AAAGUCGUAACAAGGUUUCCGUAGGUGAACCUGCGGAAGGAUCAUUACAGAGUUCAUGCCCUCACGGGUAGAUCUCCCACCCUUGAAUUAUACUACAUUGUUGCUUUGGCAGCCGUCAAACGCUGCCAGAGGAUAAACCAAACCCUUUUUAACGUGUCGUCUGAGUACUAUAUAAUAGUUAAAACUUUCAACAACGGAUCUCUUGGUUCUG